rnacentral:rRNA from 1 species
AUUGAACGCUGGCGGUAUGCUUAACACAUGCAAGUCGAACGGUAACAGGCCUUCGGGCGCUGACGAGUGGCGGACGGGUGAGUAACGCGUAGGAAUCUGCCUCAUAGUGGGGGACAACGUGGGGAAACUCACGCUAAUACCGCAUACGCCCUCUGGGGGAAAGCAGGGGAUCGCAAGACCUUGCGUUAUUCGAGCGGCCGACGUCUGAUUAGCUAGUUGGUAGGGUAAAGGCCUACCAAGGCUUCGAUCAGUAGCGGGUCUGAGAGGAUGAUCCGCCACACUGUAACUGAGACACGGUCCAGACUCCUACGGGAGGCAGCAGUGGGGAAUAUUGGACAAUGGGCGCAAGCCUGAUCCAGCAAUACCGCGUGUGUGAAGAAGGCCCUAGGGUUGUAAAGCACUUUCAAUGGGGAGGAAAAAGAGUAAGCUAAUACCUUGCUUAUUGACAUUGCCCAUACAAGAAGCACCGGCUAACUCCGUGCCAGCCGCCGCAGUAAUAC